GACGAACGCUGGCGGCGGGCUUAACACAUGCAAGUCGAACGGAAAGGCCCUGCAUUUGUGGGGUGCUCGAGUGGCGAACGGGUGAGUAACACGGGAGUAACCUGCCCUUGACUUUGGGAUAAAUUCAGGAAACUGGGGCUAAUACCGGAAAGGAGCUCCUGCUGCAUGGUGGGGGUUGGAAGGUUUCGGCGGUUGGGGAUGGACUCGCGGCUUAUCAGCUUGUUGGUGGGGUAGUGGCUUACAAAGGCUUUGACGGGUAGCCGGCCUGAGAGGGUGACAGGCCACAUUGGGACUGAGAUACGGCCCAGACUCCUACGGGAGGCAGCAGUGGGGAAUAUUGCACGAUGGGCGGAAGCCUGAUGCAGCAACGCCGCGUGCGGGAUGACGGCCUUCGGGUUGUAAACCGCUUUCGCCUGUGACGAAGCGUGAGUGACGGUAAUGGGUAAAGAAGCACCGGCUAACUACGUG
rnacentral:rRNA from 1 species